UACGUAGGGGGCAAGCGUUGUCCGGAAUCAUUGGGCGUAAAGCGCGUGUAGGCGGCCCGGUAAGUCCGCUGUGAAAGUCAGGGGCUCAACCCCUGAAUGCGGGUGGAUACUGCUGGGCUAGAGUCCGGAAGAGGCGAGUGGAAUUCCUGGUGUAGCGGUGAAAUGCGCAGAUAUCAGGAGGAACACCGAUGGCGAAGGCAGCUCGCUGGGACGGUACUGACGCUGAGACGCGAAAGCGUGGGGAGCGAACAGG
rnacentral:rRNA from 1 species